GUGCCAGCCGCCGCGGUAAUACAGAGGGUGCGAGCGUUGUUCGGAAUUACUGGGCGUAAAGCGCGUGUAGGCGGUUCAAUAAGUCAGAUGUGAAAUCCCGGGGCCUAACUCCGGAAGUGCAUUUGAAACUGUUGAGCUGGAGUGAUGUAGAGGAUGGCGGAAUACCCAGUGUAGAGGUGAAAUUCGUAGAGAUUGGGUAGAACACCGGUGGCGAAGGCGGCCAUCUGGGCAUUAACUGACGCUGAGACGCGAAAGCGUGGGGAGCAAACAGGAUUAGAUACCCUCGUAGUCC
rnacentral:rRNA from 1 species